ensembl:snoRNA Gm22595 small nucleolar RNA SNORA17
CCUGCCCCUAGAGGUGUGGCAGGCAUGGCUGCUCUGUCACAGGCACAUCAGUAGGUGGCAGAGAGAAGAGACUAUGUCUGCGCUUGGUGUUCUGACCUAUGAACAUCUGAAUGAUUAGUAGCCUCACACU